rnacentral:tRNA from 1 species
GGGUCUGUAGCUCAGGUGGUUAGAGCGCACCCUGAUAAGGGUGAGGUCGGUGGUUGAGUCCACUCAGACCCACCA